GACGAACGCUGGCGGCGUGCUUAACACAUGCAAGUCGAACGGAAAGGCCCUGCUUUUGUGGGGUGCUCGAGUGGCGAACGGGUGAGUAACACGUGAGUAACCUGCCCUUGACUUUGGGAUAACUUCAGGAAACUGGGGCUAAUACCGGAUAGGAGCUCCUGCUGCAUGGUGGGGGUUGGAAAGUUUCGGCGGUUGGGGAUGGACUCGCGGCUUAUCAGCUUGUUGGUGGGGUAGUGGCUUACCAAGGCUUUGACGGGUAGCCGGCCUGAGAGGGUGACCGGCGACAUUGGGACUGAGAUACGGCCCAGACGCGUACGGGAGGCAGUAGUGGGGAAUAUGGCGGAAUGGGGGGAAGCCUGAUGCAGCAGCGCCGCGAGCGGGAUAACGGCCUUCGGGUUGUAAACCGAUUUCGCAUGUAACGAAGCGUGAGUGACGGUAAUGGGUAAAGAAGCACCGGCUAACUACGUG
rnacentral:rRNA from 1 species